rnacentral:tRNA from 1 species
AAGAAAUUAGUUAAAUUAAUAACAUUGGAAUGUCAAACCAAAAUUACUUAUAUUUAAGUAUUUCUUU